UGUAAGCACAUGCCUUAAAACGGUAAAGCCGCGAAUGGCUCGGUAUAACAGCCACUGUUUAUUAAACUCUAGUAAUCUACUUGGAUAACUGUGGCAAUUCUAGAGCUAAUACAUGCACGCAGGCUCGGACCUUUUGGGAAGAGCGCAUUUAUUAGACCAAAACCAAUCGGGCUUCGAGCCUGUGUUUUGGUGACUCUGAAUAACUCAGUCGAUCGCACAGUCUUAGUACUGGCGACGUAUUUUUCAAAUGUCUGCCUUAUCAACUUUCGAUGGUAGGUUAUACGCCUACCAUGGUUAUAACGGGUAACGGAGAAUUAGGGUUCGACUCCGGAGAGGGAGCCUGAGAAAUGGCUACCACAUCCAAGGAAGGCAGCAGGCGCGCAAAUUACCCAAUCCCAGAACGGGGAGGUAGUGACGAAAAAUAACGAGGUAAUCCACUUUGUGGCUUGCCAUCGGAAUGGGCACAAUAUAAA
rnacentral:rRNA from 1 species